UACGUAGGCAGCGAGCGUUGUUCGGAAUUACUGGGCGUAAAGGGCUCGUAGGCGGCCAACUAAGUCCGACGUGAAAUCCCCAGGCUUAACCUGGGAACUGCGUCGGAUACUGGAUGGCUUGAAUCCGGGAGAGGGAUGCGGAAUUCCAGGUGUAGCGGUGAAAUGCGUAGAUAUCUGGAGGAACACCGGUGGCGAAGGCGGCAUCCUGGACCGGCAUUGACGCUGAGGAGCGAAAGCCAGGGGAGCAAACGGG
rnacentral:rRNA from 1 species